rnacentral:lncRNA from 1 species
AACGGGUGCUUUGCACAUUUCUUCUCUCUUACUGAUUCAGAGGAAUCAUUUCUACCAUCUGGAACUGAACAAAAAAGAAAUAGUUCUCCUUCUGAUAUUACUGCUCAUGCCAAGAACGCUCUCUUCAUAAUAUAUCAUUUAUAAACUCAGUAACUGGACUAACAAUAUUCAUCACCCUGAAAGAGCAGAAGAAAAUUAUUCAAGGCUCCUUACCUUGGCUAUUUGGA